UAACAAACUCAAAAACAUAACAGUGAGGUGUGGGAGCAGCUUGGAACACCUGGCAUUUGUUUUCAAGAGUAACCGUUAGAAUUUGUUGUGCUGCAUGUUUGC